rnacentral:rRNA from 1 species
AGUGAACGCUGGCGGCGUGCUUAACACAUGCAAGUCGAACGAGAACGGGCUAUAGCUUGCUAUAGUUGUCAGCUAAGUGGCGCACGGGUGAGUAAUGUAUAGGUAAUAUGCCUCUUACUAAGGGAUAACAAAUGGAAACGUUUGCUAAUACCUUAUACUCCUUAUUAACAGAAGUUAAUAAGGGAAAGAUUUAUUGGUAAGAGAUUAGCCUGUAUUGUAUCAGUUAGUUGGUGGGGUAAUGGCUUACCAAGACUAUGACACAUAACUGGUUUGAGAGGAUGAUCAGUCACACUGGAACUGAGACACGGUCCAGACUCCUACGGGAGGCAGCAGUGGGGAAUAUUGCACAAUGGACGAAAGUCUGAUGCAGCAACGCCGCGUGGAGGAUGACACAUUUCGGUGCGUAAACUCCUUUUAUAUGAGAAGAUAAUGACGGUAUUAUAUGAAUAAGCACCGGCUAACUCCGUGCCAGCAGCCGCCGUAAAAC